GAUGAAGAACGUAGCGAAAUGCGAUACGUAAUGUGAAUUGCAGAAUUCAGUGAAUCAUCGAAUCUUUGAACGCACAUUGCGCCUGCCAGCACUCUGGCAGGCAUGCCUGUUCGAGCGUCAUUUCAACCAUCAAGCCCUAGGCUUGCGUUGGAGCCCUGCGGCUGCCGCAGGCCCCUAAAAGCAGUGGCGGGCUCGCUAUCACACCGAGUGCAGUAGAUUACUCUUCGCUCAGGGCGUGUGGCGGGUUCCAGCCGUGAAACCCCCUACUUCUCAAGGUUGACCCCGGAUCAGGUAGGAAUACCCGCUGAACUUAAGCAUAUCAAUAAGCGGAGGA
rnacentral:misc_RNA from 1 species